rnacentral:rRNA from 1 species
GUCUACAGUCAUACUACCCUGAACAAGCCUGAUCCCAUCUGAUGAUCUCAGAAGCUAAGCAGGGUCGGGCCUGUUUAGUACUUGGAUGGGAGACCACUUAGGAAGACCAGGUGCUGUAGGCG